rnacentral:rRNA from 1 species
UACGAAGGGGACUAGCGUUGUUCGGAAUUACUGGGCGUAAAGCGCACGUAGGCGGAUUUGUUAGUCAGGGGUGAAAUCCCGGGGCUCCAACCUCGGAACGUGCCUUUGAUACUGCAAAUCUCGAGUCCGAUAGAGGUGGGUGGAAUUCCUAGGUGUAGAGGUGAAAAUUCGUAGAUAUUAGGAAAGAACACCGGUGGCGAAGGC